rnacentral:lncRNA from 1 species
CCCGAUCCACCUCCACCUGGAGCUUCAUCUCUUACUGAGCUCCUCCUGGCUCCCAAAGCUCCACCUUGCUCUGGGCUCCCCGUCAGGUAAUAAUGUCCUCUGCUCUCUUUCUUCCCCUCCAGUACAAUCCUAUCGCCGUAUAGCACCCUCAGGAUUCCUCCAUCAGCUACCGUCCUGUAGCCUCUCGAAUUCAGUCUGUUAAGUGAGAUAAGAUUCCGUCUGAAAUCGAAUAUGUACCGGACCUCCUUCAAUC